rnacentral:rRNA from 1 species
AACGAACGCUGGCGGCAGGCCUAACACAUGCAAGUCGAGCGCCCCGCAAGGGGAGCGGCGGACGGGUGAGUAACGCGUGGGAACGUACCCUUUGCUACGGAAUAGCCUCGGGAAACUGGGAGUAAUACCGUAUGUGCCCUUCGGGGGAAAGAUUUAUCGGCAAAGGAUCGGCCCGCGUUGGAUUAGGUAGUUGGUGGGGUAAUGGCCUACCAAGCCGACGAUCCAUAGCUGGUUUGAGAGGAUGAUCAGCCACACUGGGACUGAGACACGGCCCAGACUCCUACGGGAGGCAGCAGUGGGGAAUCUUAGACAAUGGGCGCAAGCCUGAUCUAGCCAUGCCGCGUGAGCGAUGAAGGCCUUAGGGUUGUAAAGCUCUUUCAGUGAGGAAGAUAAUGACUGUACCCACAGAAGAAGCCCGGCUAACUCCGUGCCAGCAGCCGCGGUAAUGUACAGUGU